rnacentral:rRNA from 1 species
GUCGAGCGGANUUGAUANAGAAGCUUGCUUNCNUGAUACUUAGCGGCGGACGGGUGAGUAACACGUAGGCAACCUGCCCUCAAGUUUGGGACAACUACCGGAAACGGUAGCUAAUACCGAAUAAUUGUUUUCUUCGCCUGAAGGAAACUGGAAAGACGGAGCAAUCUGUCACUUGGGGAUGGGCCUGCGGCGCAUUAGCUAGUUGGUGAGGUAACGGCUCACCAAGGCGACGAUGCGUAGCCGACCUGAGAGGGUGAUCGGCCACACUGGGACUGAGACACGGCCCAGACUCCUACGGGAGGCAGCAGUAGGGAAUCUUCCGCAAUGGGCGAAAGCCUGACGGAGCAAUGCCGCGUGAGUGAUGAAGGUUUUCGGAUCGUAAAGCUCUGUUGCCAGGGAAGAACGCUUGGGAGAGUAACUGCUCUCAAGGUGACGGUACCUGAGAAGAAAGCCCCGGCUAACUACGUGCCAGCAGCCGCGGUAAUACGUAGGGGGCAAGCGUUGUCCGGAAUUAUUGGGCGUAAAGCGCGCGCAGGCGGUCAUUUAAGUCUGGUGUUUAAUCCCGGGGCUCAACCCCGGAUCGCACUGGAAACUGGGUGACUUGAGUGCAGAAGAGGAGAGUGGAAUUNNNCNUGUAGCGGUGAAAUGCGUAGAUAUGUGGAGGAACNNNNGUGGCGAAGGCGACUCUCUGGGCUGUAACUGACGCUGAGGCGCGAAAGCGUGGGGAGCAAACAGGAUUAGAUACC